AGCAGCCGCGGUAAUUCCAGCUCCAAUAGCGUAUAUUAAAGUUGUUGCAGUUAAAAAGCUCGUAGUUGAAUUUCGGGAUCAAUUUAUUGGUCGUGCUAUUGUACGUACUGGUAUUAUUGAUUCCUACCUUCUGACGAACCAUGAUGUCAUUAAUUUGGUGUCUUGGGGAAUCAGGACUGUUACUUUGAAAAAAUUAGAGUGUUUAAAGCAGGCUCACGCUUGAAUACAUUAGCAUGGAAUAACGAAAUAGGACGUUUGAUUCUAUUUUGUUGGUUUCUAGGAUCGACGUAAUGAUUAAUAGGGAUAGUUGGGGGCAUUAGUAUUCAAUUGUCAGAGGUGAAAUUCUUGGAUUUAUUGAAGACUAACUACUGCGAAAGCAUUUGCCAAGGAUGUUUUCAUUAAUCAAGAACGAAAGUUAGGGGAUCGAAGACGAUCAGAUACCGUCGUAGUCUUAACCAUAA
rnacentral:rRNA from 1 species